rnacentral:lncRNA from 1 species
AUAUUGUUGUAUGUAUCACCGAUCUUGUUUGGACGGCAAUCUUUUUGUAGCCUCUUGCUGCCGGAGGACACGUGCAGAAGAUACCACAAGACCAGCGGGGUAUUUGAGUGCAUACCACCAAUUGAUCGUGCAAACAACGUCCGCGUUAGGUUCAGGUAUAUUCACAAGUGGGGAUACUUAUUUAUAGUUGAUGUUCACCGAUGUACAUACACCACUGUGAUAUGUUGCUAUGUCCUGUUGGUUGGGCACCUGACAGUAUGAUCAGGGUUAUUUAUAGUUGGUGCCAUCUGAUUCCAGUUGUCUGGCCCCAUCUUGUGAUGGUUGUAAUUAUGCUCGUUGCUUAGGUACUUAAGGUACCUGACAGCAUUGAGCCAUUGCUGGAUGGAGGAUUUUAUUGGUUUACUUAUAGAUUUUGUGCUUAAUACUGUGCUCUUGAUUGUCAUAGUGCUAUUCCAUUUUGAUGACAAUGAUAACGUGUUUGUGUUUUGGUGAGGCUGAAGUUUCUUGAGGAAAAACUCAUUGCUAGAUGUUCUAUGUUGAUACCACUAUGCAAUACGAAUAGCUUUGCAUAUUGACUGUUGGAUAAACAUGAUCCAAUGGUGGCAAAUCCGAGCAGUCCUGGCCGUAGGAUAUCCUCUUGGCUACACUGGAUUAUUUCCAUGUGUGCUACCUAGAAGUUUCUGUGCUUGGGCUCAAGUACAAUGCACAAUAUGCACCAACCUCAAAACAAUGCCAUACCACUAUACACUAUAAGAAUAUCUUCGAAUAUUGACAGUUGGAUAAACCCAAUCCAACUGUAGAGAGGUGGUGAAUCCGAGCAGUGCUUGAAUAUUGACUACAUUGGAUUAUUCCAAGGGAGUGGAUGGUAUAUACUCCACUAUACAAUGUGCACAAAUAUCAAAACAAUGAACUCUUUUGUUCCAGACUCAUCCAUGCUAUAAUUCUCCAACUUUUCUCUUAUUGUCAUCUAUUUUUGCUUUGUUAUUUACAAUGCACAAUUUGCAUAAAAAAUAGGCAUUUUCCAUUUAUUCUAGACAACUAUGUAGUCUGUACUAUGAUUCUUCCAAGUUUUUUUCUAGAAGAAUCGGCAUUCAUUUUUGUUUACCGAUUUUUAUUUGGGUUCAAGGCUAUGACAUCGCCUUCAUAAAGCCUGAUUCUCUCUGCAAUACUUGUCUAUUCAUUCUAUUUUCUACCCAAAACUACAAUAUGAGAUAAUUAUAAGACAAAAGUGAUGCAUAUGUUUCACAUGGAUUUUGUAUAGUAUAGAGCAUCUUACAAUUUAGAGAUGGCACAUAUGUUUCAUAUGUUUCACAUAGAAUAUUUUGUAUCUAUAAUUUGAUUACAAAUGGCACGAACUAUGAGAACUAAAUCUCUACAUCUUACAAUUUAAACAUAUAUGACUUGGAAUCUACAUAUUUGCGAAAAAUGUUAAAUGGAACUUGGGCUCAUGGAGCCUAAAUUUUGAACAAUUUGAAAAAUAUACUUUUAUGUUUUAGAAAACUCUGAAAAAUACACAUAUAUCAGAGAUGUAAUGUACAUGUGUGUAAAUUUUCAUGAUCAAAUAUGUUAAAAUGAGAGCUACAAAAAAGGAAAACAAAUAUGUGGCUUUCUAUGACAUGCACUGUUUACUCUUGAAGUCCAUGAAUUUUUUUGUGCAGCUUGCAAUUCAACGUAAUUCAUCGUGAAAUUUUACACACAUAUACAUUACACCCUUAUAUAUGUGUAUAGGUGUAUGGUUGUUUUCUGAACUUUUUGAAACCAUGAAACUAUGAAAUUUGAUUAUUACUUUUUAAUAACGGGUUCCAUGGAGCUUGUCCUCCAUAUUUGCAUAUCUGUACUUAGUCACUUUCUUUUUGCCAUAGUUUCGUUAUGUUGUAGUAGAGGAUUUUAGUCCCACUUAUAGUGCCACUCCUAUGUCCUACGUGGAGUGCCACACCACCAGUGAAGAAUAGUCAAAGUAAGUCAAAGAAAGAAGACCCCAAGAAAGAAUAAGUCCAAAGAGGAGACAAGAGCAAAGAAGCCUAAGCCCAAGUAAGAAGGCCCCUCCUAGUGUAGGGAUUUUCCCUCUAAUAGGCUACAACCCACCCCUUAACCCUAUGGGCUAAAUGAUGGAAAGUUACCUAGUUCUACCUUCUGACCUCUUUACUCAAGGGUAGACUUCAUUUGUCAAGGACUCCUAGGCUAUAUAAAGCACCCCAUGGGCAUGUAACUCACUCAAUUUCACAUGAAUACACUAAGUGGAGGGUCACUCUCUCCUUCCAAUCCCCUUCAAGAGCGCAAAUGAAGGCCGAGAGCUCUGAGUCCGAGGGACCUUGUAAGGCUUGGACUAGUCGGGAGUCGUGGGACAUUGGGAACGGUUGCACUCUAAGUGCCCCGUGCCCCGGGCACCACUCUCGACGACCAUCCCAUAGGACGCAGGUUACACUCCCAUGAGUCUAAUGAACCUAUUUAAAAAACAUCAUCAUGGCACUUUGUCGAGUGUAUGACGACCUUCAAUAUAAGGUUGUUGUACAUGCCCUCGCUAAUUUCUGGCCACACUACUAAGGACACCCUCUAGUCAAAAGUUGAUUCUCGAACGUCAACAUUAGCACCGACCGUGGGAAUCAUCGCCAUGUGUGAGAAGUCACCUCGACCACCACAGCUUUAUGUCAAGGAAUCCAAGGAGAAAGCCUCAACUAGAAGAUCCAAGAAGAAGGACGUGGCAGGAGAGGGGAGCCCAAAGAACUCAGCGACGUCACCCUCGACGUGGUGGUCGAGGAAGUGUGCCCGGAGGAGGCCCUCGAUGUUGCCGCCCCCGUAGAAGGGAUCACCGCUCCAAAAUUCUCGCAGGUCAUCCUCAGCCUCGGCACCCAUGCCGAGACUACCUUAGGCAUGGGAGCCGAAGGCCACCCCACCGUGGGAAGCUCCGCCCCACUGAAAGUCAUCCAGGACCCUCGCUCCAUCGCUACCGCCUUGGAGACGCUCGUCAACUCUUCGGAUGUCAACAUCAACUCCAUAUGGGAUUUGGUCGACCCGCUCCAGGCCUUCGCCAUCGUCAUCGACCCAAGACUAGGACAUUCACCACCAAUAACAUGGCAACCACUCCGGUAUUUCCAAGUUUCACUAAAUAAAUAGAAGUGUGAUGAUCAUCAUUCAAUAGAGCAUUGUCCCAAAAAAAGAAAGGCCAAAAAAGAAAAAAAGAAAGGCCAAAUAAAAUAAAUAAAAAAUAAAUAAAAAGGGACAAUGCUACUAUCCUUUUACCACACUUGUGCUUCAAAGUAGCACCAUGAUAUAGCGAGUCUCAUAUAUUGUGCUUCAAAGUAGCACAAUGUUCUUCAUAUAGAGAGUCUCAUAUGUUGUCACUUUCAUAUACUAGUGGGAAUUUUACAUUAUAGAACUUGGCUUGUAUAUUUCAAUGAUGGGCUUCCUCAAAAUGCCCUAGGUCUUCGUGGGCAAGCGAGUUGGAUGCACACCCACUAGUUUCUUUUGUUGAGCUUUCAUACAUUUAUAGCUCUAGUGCAUCCGUUGCAUGGCAAUCCCUACUCACUCACAUUGAUAUCUAUUGAUGGGCAUCUCCAUAGCCCGUUGAUACACCUAGUUGAUGUGAUACUAUCUUCUCCUUUUUGUCUUCUCCACAACCACCAUUCUAUUCCACCUAUAGUGCUAUGUCCAUGGCUCACGCUCAUGUAUUGCGUGAAGAUUGAAAAAGUUUGAGAACAUCAAAAGUAUGAAACAAUUGCUUGGCUUGUCAUCGGGGUUGUGCAUGAUUUAAAUAUUUUGUGUGGUGAAGAUGGAGCAUAGCCAGACUAUAUGAUUUUGUAGGGAUAUCUUUCUUUGGCCAUGUUAUUUUGAGAAGACAUGAUUGCUUUGUUAGUAUGCUUGAAGUAUUAUUAUUUUUAUGUCAAUAUGAACUUUUCUCUUGAAUCUUUCAGAUCUGAAUAUUCACGCCACAAUUAAGAAGAAUUACAUUGAAAUUAUGCCAACUAGCAUUCCACAUCAAAAAUUAUCUUUUUAUCAUUUACCUACUCGAGGACGAGUAGGAAUUAAGCUUGGGGAUGCUUGAUACGUCUCCAACGUAUCUAUAAUUUUUGAUUGUUCCAUGCUAUAUUAUCUACUAUUUUGGGCAAUAUUGGGCUUUAUUAUCCACUUUUAUAUUACUUUUGGGACUAACCUAUUAACCGGAGGCCCAACCCAGAUUUGCUGUUUUAUGCCUAUUUCAGUGUUUUGAAGAAAAGGGAUAUCAGACGGAGUCGAAACGGAACGAAAUCAACUGGAGAAGUUAUUUUUGGAAGGAAACACACCUGAUGGACUUGGACCCCACGUCAAGGAAGGAACGAGGUGCUCACGAGGGUGGGGGGCACCCCCCUAGGGCGCGCCCCUGUCUCGUGGGACCCUCGUGGCUCCCCUGAUGUACCUCCUGCAUCCAUAUAUACCUACGUGACCUAAAACUUCCAGAACGCAUAAUAGAUCGGGAGUUCCGCCGCCAGAAGCCUCCGUAGCCACCAAAAACCAAUCGGGACCCUGUUCCGGCACCCUGCCGGAGGGGGGAACCUUCACCGGUGGCCAUCCUCAUCAUCCCGAUGCUCUCCAUGACGAGGAGGGAGUAGUUCUCCCUCGGGGCUGAGGGUAUGUACCAGUAGCUAUGUGUUUGAUCUCUCUCUCUCUCGUGUUCUUGAGAUGAUAUGAUCUUGAUGUAUCGUGAGCUUUGCUAUUAUAUUUGGAUCCUAUGAUGUUUCUUCCCCCCUCUUCUCUCUUGUAAUGAAUCGAGUUUCCCCUUUGAAGUAAUCUUAUCGGAUUGAGUCUUUAAAGACUUGAGAACACUUGAUGUAUGUCUUGCCGUGGAUAUCUGUGGUGACAAUGGGAUACCACGUGCCACUUGAUGUAUGUUUUGGUGACCAACUUGCGGGUUCCGCCCAUGAACCUAUGCAUAGGGGUUGGCACACGUUUUCAUCGUGAUUCUCCGGUAGAACUUUGGGGCACUCUCGAGGUCCUUUGUGUUGGUUGAAUAGAUGAAUCUGAGAUUGUGUGAUGCAUAUCGUAUAAUCAUACCCACGGAUACUUGAGGUGACAUUGGAGUAUCUAGGUGACAUUAGGGUUUUGGUUGAUUUGUAUCUUAAGGUGUUAUUCUAGUACGAACUCUAGGGCUGUUUGUGACACUUAUAGGAAUAGCCCAACGGAUUGAUUGGAAAGAAUAACUUUGAGGUGGUUUUGUACCCUACCAUAAUCUCUUCGUUCGUUCUCCGCUAUUAGUGACUUUGGAGUGACUCUUUGUUGCAUGUUGAGGGAUAGUUUUAUGAUCCAAUUAUGUUAGUAUUGUUGAGAGGACUUACACUAGCGAAAGUAUGAACCCUAGGCCUUGUUUCAACGCAUGGCAAUACCGUUUACGCUCACAUUUAUCACUUGCUACCUUGUUGUUUUUAUUAUUUCAGAUUACAAAAACUAUUAUCUACUAUCCAUAUUGCACUUGUAUCACCAUCUCUUCGCCGAACUAGUGCACCUAUAUAAUUUACCAUUGUAUUGGGUGUGCUGGGGACACAAGAGACUCUUUGUUAUUUGGUUGCAGGGUUGCUUGAGAGAGACCAUAUUCAUCCUACGCCUCCUACGGAUUGAUAAACCUUAGGUCAUCCACUUGAGGGAAAUUUGCUACUAUCCUACAAACCUAUGCACUUGGAGGCCCAACAACGUCUACAAGAAGAAGGUUGUGUAGUAGACAUCAUGGCGCACCAUCUGUUCCCAAGUUUCAUUUAAAACCCAACUGUUUAAUUAAAGGUGAGGAGAUCUCCCGGUAUUUCCACUACUAGAUGCUCAAGUUGUCCGUAACCGGGGACACGACUAAUCGAUUAGGUUGACACUCUAUAGAGGUUGCACACUUUUCCCCACAAGACUCGACCACCUCCAUGAUCGAAGAUCGAGACAUAGUCUUUUGAAAAUGUCCCCCCCCCCUUAACCCACGGAUAGGCCGGUACACCUACAACAUUCCACAUUUGCUAGCCCAUCUCGGAAGGGGUCACACUAACUACUCAACUAAGCCAGAGCCCAUAUUGGCUUGUGGCUGCACACGUAAGCUUCUAGACAUGAGAAUACGAUUGAUCUCUUUGAGCUUGAGCGGACGGUCCACUAGUGGUGCACCACCAUGGAUUUCCCAUGUGUGCCCCACUGUACUUCGCCACCAUUCCAACAAGUUUCCGCCUAGGUAGUUCAUUAAUUAUCUUAGGUCCUAUUUACUACAUUGUCACUCAUACUUUACAAUGAUCACUCCCAAUCCACGUCUACUUAGCGAAGCAACAUAAUGUAAAACGAUGGCGAAAAUGUUGUAAGGUUCAGACCUGCCUCAAUGAACUACUGUGUGUAAAGCAUAGUCAUACGACAUCAAUUCCUACAAUGCAGUCCAACCACAAAGAACUAAGUGGAUAAUAAUAACAUAGGUAAUGAAACAUGGUCAAGAUGCAACUUGCCUUGGUACCACUGGUUGAAUUCUAAAGACUGAUAAUAUUCUGCUUUGCACUUCGGGCAAUCUAUCGCAAAGAAGAUAAACAAACAUAAGCAAACAUUUCUGAGAAACAAGAAGAAACAUGCAAAGCAAAAUGUCUCGGAAUAACCAAAUGAACGAACAACACACUUAACUAGCAUGAAAAUAUUCUAAGUGCAAAGCAACAUAGGCCUUUGGUUCAAAAAGUGAUGCGAACUAUAGUGCAUACUAUGCCUACUAGUAAAAAAAUAUAUUAAUGGGCAUAUUCCAGUGCGUGAAAAUUAUUAUGACAAAGGUCCAGGUGAUAAGGUUUGGCUACGGUGUCAAAGUGCAAAAAUAAUCAACUUAAUCGGAGCUAUGGUUUGGGAGAUAUGGCCAUUUGAAGUUUGAAUUCGAAUUUGAAUAAGUUCAAAUUUGAAUCGGACAAAAGUUUACAAAAAGGAUACCACUGGAUAGAUCUAAACAUGAUGAAGAAUUUGCCGUUGGUUUCAUCGAGUUUAAAUCUACGGUUAAAAAGUUGUGGCUACUCGAAGUUCACGGACUAAUAUGCUAAUCACAGGGACUAAACAGUGAAACAGAAAAUAAACUAAAACUGCGAGCAGGCCCUUGGCCAUGUGGCGGCUUGCGGGUGGCUGAGUAGCGUCCGCUGCGGGACUUAUUUGGUGAACGAUCACUAAAUAAGAAAAACAACGUCGACGGCUAACUAAAGAAAAACCGACGCUCGAUUUAAAUAAAAUCGCACGGUCUAAGGGAACCGCACACCUCUUUGCAAAAUAAAAAACGAACCUAAUCUAAUCUAGGCCAUCCAUGGUAGAUCGAACGGGGGAGGGUGGGGCGGUGGCUCACAGUGGAUGGUGGUGGUGGUGGCCGACGACGAUGAAAACGGCGGCGUGGCGUCGGUGACGGAGGGGGCGGCGGCUACGGUGGUCCUCGUCGACGGGGAGGUGCGGCGCGUCGAGGGCGUCGCGAAGGUGGUGUCGGCGUUCGUCGGCAGUGUCGGGACGGGGUGAGGCGAAGACGGUGGGGCUCGGUGCUCCGGCAGUUCUGGCGUCGAUGGUGCGGCGGCUCUGACGGGACCCAGGGGCAAAUAUCAUGUCAAACGGAUGCGCCUUGGCGAGCUAAGAAAAAUUACAGAAAAGGGAGGGCCGGCGUGGUCUACGGGCAACGAAAUGCUCCGGCGAGUUGCGCGGCUCCGGCGAGAUGCGAACGGGUAGGAUCGACAGAGGGGAGCCAGGGGCAUUUAUAGGUGAGGGGAGGGUGUGCGGGUGCCGUGGAUAAGACCUAUCUGAGGGGCUUCGCCGGUGGUUGCGGGGCGGCACGACACGGAUGUAUAUCCCGUGCGGUGCGGGAGGUUGGGGACGAGCUGGGGAAGCGGGGUCCCACCGGUCAGUGGCGGCGGCGGUAGCGAGCGAGGGGUGUCGGGUGCGGGCGACCGGCGCCUAGGCUAAUCGGGCGCGGGGCUGGGCCUUCGGCCGUUUCGGCCGGAGGCCUGGCUGGCCUGGUUCGGCUGGCUGAGCGCGCGCGUCCCUAGGCCGAACUGGUUUCGGUCCAGGCGGGUGAGUGUGUGUGUGUGUGCGUGCGUGCGUUCCUUUUUUCUAAAACCAAAUACUAAAGUGUCCCUAAAUAAUUCAAAUGAAUUAAUAAAAACACCAAAUUAGUUUCUAAAAUAACUAUACAAUAUUUAGAGCCUAAUGAACAUUAACUUAAGCACAUAACAUUUUUAAAAAUAUUUUCCUAAUGCAAUUAAUGCACUUUUUUGCAAAUAAAAUAAAUACCAAUAAACUCCAAAACUUCAAAUAAUAUUCAAAAUAAAAUUUCCCACUCUUUUAUAAGUUUGAGGAAGUCAUCUUAUCCCCUCUCAUUUGUUUUUCUCGAGUGGAAAAAUAUUAUUUGAAUAUUUUAAAAACUCCAAAAUGCAAAGAAAUAUGAUAUGCAUUGAAUGAUUCUAUUAACAUCCAAAUUUAAUAAAAAAUGCGAUGUUACCACUGCCCUUUUUAUAUGGUUAGGUUUUACAUUAAUAAAUUCCUUGUAGUUGUGGAUGCUUGCUAGGGCUUCACACUACUGCAGGUUACUGCUAGCGCGAGAUUACGAUCAGAGACCCUUUGACGAAACUGUGUGCGAUGCAUUAAUCGCAAACGACGGUGUAAAAAACCCGUCAAAAAAGGUGCAAAACAUUUGCGAUGACGGAUACAUCAAACACGGUUUAGAUUUUAGUUGCGUGUGCGAUGCAGGGCAUACGGUUCAGUUCAAUUAACUAUUUGUGAUGUGGCAGAACAAAAGAAACGGGCAGCCAGAUGAAGGCGUGUGCCAUAUACAGCUUACGGUUCACUCGGAUGACCUAUUUGUGAUUAGGCAACACAACAGAAACGGUCAGCCAGAUCAAGGUGUGUGCGAUAUACGGCAUACGGUUCACUCAGAUGAACUGUUUUCGAUUAGGGAACACAAUAGAAACGGUUCAACCAGAUCAAGGUGUGUGCAAACGAGGGCAUACAGUUCAUUCCGAUAAACUGUUUGUGUUGAGCCAAGAGAACAGAAAUGUUUCAUAUAAACAAGAUGUGUGAAAUACGCGGCAAAGAUCUAAUUACAUAGGUGUCUAGUACACACAUGACAUUUCCACACACCAAAAUAAACUAUUACAUGCAUAAUUAACUAGGAUAAACGGUCAUCUGAUCAUCAUCUACUUCUUAUGCUAGCUCAAUGUUCCUUCUAUUCUAAGUCUCCAUUAAUUGAUGGCAUUUUAUGAACACGCCACCGUUUCCCUCCACCCAGCGAUACUACGCAUACACCUUGGCGGUGCGCGACGCACGGAGGCAACAAGCGCAACCUAUAGCACACCCACCUUUUCCAAGCAUGCCAACCCACCAAAGCGCGCCUCUGUCAUCAACCUCGCCGAUGAGGAAAACGAUCAGGCGCCACAACCCAUCGAGGCCGAGGUGCUCCCCGACAACGUGAUGGACGAUGUCGUGAUGCGCGUCAUCACCAGGGUUGAGCAGACCCUUGGCGCAUGGCGCUUCAGCGCCGUGGAUCAAGAUAGGCAUGUCAACGCGGAGAGGCUGCAGCUAUCCGCACAACAUGAUUGAUGGCGCGCCGCAGAGCAAGCUAGGCGCGUCUGCGCCGAUAGGCUGCGGCUCGCCGCACGAUGAGACCGUUGGAGCGCCAUAGAGCGAGAGGCGCGGGGUGCCACACAGCAAGAGCGGAUCCGUCGGCGCUUGGCUGCUGUCGACAUGGCGUCGCAGCUGGGUACACGUCCUGUCAGUACCCCCAUUCCUCGCCAGGAGUGGGCAGAGGCCCUCUGCACCGUACUUGCACCAGAGGCCUGAUACGUCCAUUUUGCAAUAUCUUUUCCUAUUGUUUUAUGAUGUUUUAUGUAUAAUAAUGCUUUUUGGAGUAAUUCUAAUGCCUUUUCUCUCAUAAUUGGCAAGGUACACACAAAGAUGGAGAAUUCCGGCAGCUGGAAAUCUGGACCUGGAAAAGCUACGUUAGGCUACCCAUUCUACACAAAUCCAAACAAGCUAAAACUUUACGGAGAAUUGUUAUGGAAUAUAUAAAGAAUAUUGGAUCAAAUAAGUACCAGAGGGGGCCCACCAUGUGGGCACAACCCACCUGGGCGCUCCAGGGAGCCCAGGCGCGCACUGGUGGGUUGUGCUCACCCAGGCCCACCUUUAGUGCCCAUCUUUUGGUAUAUAAGUCAUUUUGACCUAUAAAAAAUAAGAGGGGAACUUUUGGGACGGAGCGCCGCCAUCUCGAGGCGGAACUUGGGAAGGAGCACUUUUGCUCUCCGGCAGAGCAAUUCCGCCGGGGGAAGUUCCCUCCCGGAGGGGGAAUUCAUCGUCAUCAUCAUCACCAACAACUAUCCCAUCUUGGGGAGGACAAUCUCCAUCAACAUGUUCAACAACACCAUCUCAUGUCAAACCCUAGUUCAUCUCUUGUGUUCACUCUUGUUACCAGAACUAUAGAUUGGUGCUUGUGGGUGACUAGUAGUGUUGAUUACAUCUUGUAGUUGAUUACUAUAUGGUUUAUUUGGUGGAAGAUUAUAUGUUCAGAUUCAUUAUGCUAUUUAAUACCCCUCUGAUCUUGAGCAUGUUUAUCACUUGUGAGUACUUACUUUUGUUCUUGAGGUCACGGGAGAAAUCAUGUUGCAAGUAAUCAUGUGAACUUGAUAUGUGUUCGAUAUUUUGAUAGUAUGUAUGCUGUUAUUCCCUUAGUGGUGUCAUGUGAACGUCGACUACAUGACACUUUUGUGAAUUAUUGGUAACUUGACCUACAUUCCGUGUGACCAAAUGAGGUGAGACUUGAAAACUCUGAUGCAAUACCAAUCUGCAGUUCCAUCAUUUGAUUUGUGUAGCAGAAUGUUCACAAGCUAUAAGUGGAAUUUCAAAUUUACGCCCCAUAUCUGAGCAUAUCUUUUUUUUAAUAUGCACACACAUUAUGAACUGGAACAUAUUAGAACUUCCCUGAAAUUUAUACAAUUGUACACGAAGAGUAAAAAAGACCCACCGAUUGAAGUAAGCAGUCACCAACCUGCAAAUGCCACUGAUUCUCGAAAGGGAAAAAGCUGGGUCACCAAUUAUGUGGCCUCAUAUUCAUAAUCAGCCCAGCUAUCCACUAGCUGGUCCUUUACUUUGGACAACCCGUUAAUUCCCAUAUUGCUGUAUUCUAAAGCCAGCGGGGACCUGGUUCCUACAAAUUGUUUUCCUCUUAUCAAGUGAAUUCAGAUGCAAUCGAUUGCUUUGUGACCAAGCGAUGUAAUAAACAUUAAAAAGCAAGGUGACCUGAUACAAAAUUGUAAAAUACACCAGUUAACAAACUUCAUUUUCGGCGCUUUAAAUGUAAAACUGUGUUGGCGUCUUGGUUAGCAGGAUUUAUUUGCCAUGUUUCUUUGUCGUCUGCUUGUGGAUAUAUAUGAGGUUUUAUCAUGAUAAAGAACUUCCAUAUUUUAGAAAGUGCUUUCAUUAAGUAUGGCUAUUUACUUCUCUUGAAACUAUACUUGAAUUGUUGUAUAAUUGUAUUGACUGACAUGCAUUACUAGAAAGGGAUGUAUACUAUUGGUGGACAUAUAAUUUAAUAUUAACCGUAAUCUGUUCUGAUAGGGCUCAGCAUGUUUCUUCGUGAUGGGGAAGGCCCCCGGAUUUGGCCUGAUCUUCACGCUAGGAAAGGAUAACUUGCUUUGCCUGAUGAACCAAAUGUCAAGAACACACACCAAUGUGAUAGCCUUUGACAGUGAACUCAACCAACAAAACAGUUGAUGGACAUCUCGAUUUCCACCGGAAGAGACUCUUCAAUUCUUACAAACACAAGGAAAUGCAAGAACUAAGGUGGAGGGGAUGGUCAAAACCCUAGGAUAGGAGAGCAAAGCUCAACUAGUUUCUUCCUAAAACAAGUCUGACUACAAAAAAGGCUGUCUCCUCUUAAUUGUACUCUCUACUUCAGCCCUAGCUAUUGUGCAAAGUGUUUCGCCCAUUAUAAAAGCCACUUGGGCAGCUGAAAUUCGUUUUGGUUUGUCUGAUACCUUGCUGCACACCCAGACCCAGGACAUGCCUGGGGGCAUGUCUUCCCUGUUCAGCUUCUUUGUUGUCCGUGUUUAGCUUCUCAAACCUAAGGAUAGACAAAGUUGAUGUACCAAAUAGCAUCCAAUUCAUAUGUAGAUUAGCGGGAGAUUCAAGUAUGAGAAGACUCACCUAUUGCUCGAGUUGUUUGGCACAUGCCAUCGUCAUUGGCCCUACUUGAGUUGGAGGCAUGUCAUUAUGGAUGUCCUCAAUCAUCAUUUUGGAUGGAGGCAUUUCAUUUGGGGUGUUCUCAUCACUUUGAGAGCACCAAUUUUACUAUAAUAACGUUUCUAGCUUAUCUGAUAUGAUCUUUUUAUCUAAAAUGGUUAGUUACUUUAGUUUGAGCACACUGUAACUAUUACCUAUAAAUGGAAACAUGUCAUCUCUAAUUAAAUCCAUUCAUCGGUUACAUGGUUGCAGUUCCCCUACUUUUAACGCUUUAAUAGUAAAGAAUACAUUGAAUCAUUUUUAUGCUCACUGGCCCUCCACUGCUCCUGCAGUUUGGAACAUGGAUUUGGUUUAUCUUUUAGGUUUGUCAUUGGAAGGACGAAGGACAAAGAAAAAAUGGCAGAUCUUCAGAAAGAGGUAGACAUGUAUCAUGACUUUUUGUUUAUUGAUGCUGAUGAGGGUACAAAGCCCCCAGAGAAGAUGUAAGCUCUGUACACUCUGUAAUCUUGUAUUUCUACCUGUGAACUUGCAUAUUGUAAAUCUUACCUACUGAUUGCUCAUGUGAUAGGUUAGCAUAUUUCAAAGCAGCUUAUGACAUGUUCCACGCAGAAUUUUACGUCAAAGCUGAUGAUACUAUCUAUCUGCGCCCAGGUAAAUUUUGUGAUUUACAAUGUAUCAAAACUAUUGUUUAGAUAGUUAGAUCUGUGAUAUGUAAUUAUGUCACAUUUCUGCGCCAGAUAGACUUGCUGCUCUCCUUGCAAAGGACCGACUUCAUCACCGGACUUAUAUUGGUUGCAUGAAGAAGGGACCGGUUGUCAGUGAUCCGAAUAUGAAAUGGUUAGUGGAAACUUGAAUUGGUUCUAACAUCGAAAUUCAUAUUUGCAUAUAUGUCAAUUUUUCUGAAAAAGCAAUUGGUUUUCAAUGCAAGUCCAAUUAGUUUUCCAUGUAAGUCAUACUAGUAUCCAUGGCAUCUAUUGUUAUUUCAGCUAUGAAGGUUUUGAACUAUCUUGUUCAUUGAUUAUGUUAUUAUUUCAUGACAGGUAUGAAAGUUCAUAUGGAUUAUUAGGUAAUGAGUACUUCAUGCAUGCAUCUGGUUCACUGUAUGCUCUUUCUUCAGAAGUGGUGGGAGCUAUAGCUACUACAAACAAUGAUAGGUUAGUUGUUUAUCUUUUUUUUCCGGCCCGUAGAGUGAAAGCGUAUGAUAGCUCGCGUCACUCUGAACAUAAUAUACACUACCAAGGAGGCAAGGAGUUAACAGAUGUUUCUUGCACAUAUUAUCAUCUUACAUAGUUGUUUAGUGAUGAAUUCUUUAUGUUUCUAACCUAGUUCUAGCGUGUUGCAGUAGAUCUAAAAUAAACAAUGGCACAAUACUAAACUACCAAAAUGUAAGCUUCCCAUGAUUAGGUCACUUGUGUUGCAAUGAGAACUCACAAUUUGCACUCAGUCAAACAUGUUAAAUUUAUCAAAACAAGCUUUUGCCCCGCUUUAUAGAUAAAGCAACCACCAAGUCCAUACAACAAGCACAAGUGCGAGAAAAGUGAAAAUACGUUUGUUGGGGCAACAACACAAACAUGCCGUAAUAAAAUAAGAGGAAAAAAGCCACCAAGUGGCCGAUAGAUCAGUCGCUAUGAGUCGGGGCAAGACGACGAGCUGCCAGUCAUUGCGUCCAUCAUGCUGCCAAGCUGGUCCUGAUCCUGGUGCCUAGAGAGCGGGUGCCAGUGCUGCAAAAAGGCCAAGAAUUUGAAUAGUCUGUGGCCUGCCGUAAGAAGACCCUCUCAAUAACCAUCUUGUUAAACAUCUUCUAGAGGGUCCAGGUCAUCGCUGCGAACACUAACCAGAAGAGGCGUCUCCUUCUAUCUGUCUGGUUGGCGCGAGUUUUCGAGAAACCCUGCCAGGUUAGGGCCUCUCAGUUAGGCCCCAGAGCCUCACGAACAAAGCACCAAAAGAAUCAAGCAGCUAACCAGGCGAAGAAGAUGUGGGUCCUAGUCUGGGGACACCACAAAGAGGAUGUAAUCCAUCGCCAAGCCCAUUCCGCUUGAUCACCUCCGUCCCCGAUGGGAGGCGAUCCCGCAAAAGCUGUCACACGAAGAUCUUGAUCUUCAGAGGAAGGGGCACUUUCCACAAAGGUGUGGUCCAUGCAAGAAUUGGUCACCGGCACAAGGCGUGGUAUGCUGAGCCAACAGAGAAGAACCCCUAAGGGGUCAGGCACCAAGAUAUGACGUCCGGAUAAUCCGGAAGCAUCGACGGAAGGGCUACCCGAAGGCUGGCCCAAGCAAUGGUUUCCUUGGGCCGAAUGUGCGACGGAACAAGACGUUCCAAAUCCCAUUGUGAGCGGCCAAGGACACCAACAACAUCGGAUCUGCACAGAUAGCAAACAAGGCAGGGAAAUCAUUGCAGAGUGGAGAUCCACCCACCCAAGGGUCCAGCCAGAAGAGGGUCCCAUCUCCAUUGCCUAUGGAGAUAGAGAGCCCAAGACGAAUCUCAUUCUUGAUGGACUUAAUCGACUUCUAGAACUGAGAUCCCUCCCUAUGAUCACACGCAAGAAGUGGGCGGUCCUGCAAAUACUUUGCUUUAAUAAGCUGCAGCCACAGGCCCCAUCCUCUCUGAGGAUCCUCCAAACCCAUCUCAACAAAAGGGCCAUGUUGAUGCGACGGGACACAAGAAUAACUAGAACCCCUAGGUCCUUGGGCAAGCAAAUAUCAGCCCACUUGACCAUAUGGUAUUUGUGACGUCCAUCAGUCGCCUGCCAGAAGAAGCGCGAUAGAUUCUUACCAAAGGAGCUAUGCACCCCUGCAGGCAAAAUAUAUAGCCCCAUCAUAUACAUGGGGAGACUAGAAAGGCACGAGUCGAUAAGCAUGGAUUUACUCCCUUUGGAAGUAAAUCUACCGCACAAUGGUGCAGACCUAGACACAACACGACCCAUAAGUGGGUCAAAUUCCCAGAGGGGGACCCUCGAAUCAGAUAGCGGCAUCCUCAAUUACGCAAUGGGGAAGGAGGACAACUUGCAAUUAAGGUUGUCCGCAAUCCGCUGCUGAUCGUUGACAGAGUACCCUAAUACCACAACCUCACUCUUAUCGAAAUUGAUCUGAAGUCCCGACAUGGCCUCAAAGCAGAGGAUAGGAACUCGAGGUUAAUAAUAUCAAUUUCCGACCCUCAACCAUGAUCAUGGUGUCAUUCGCAUAAUGGAGGUGAGUAACACCACCUCCAUGGACAAUAUGCGCAACCACACUGGAGAUGUGGCCGGCCAUCCUAGCCUUAUCCAGGAUGGCCACAAGGGCGUCAACUGCCAGGUUGAAGAGGAGAGGGGAGAUAGGAUCCCCCUGCCUCACCCCAUGAGAAGACCUAAAGUAGGGGCCAACCUGCCUAUUAAUAUUAAUUGCGGUGCUACCGCUCUGAUCAACUGCAUGAUCCAGGAACACCAACGGCCAUCGGGCCCAUUUGCUCAAGAACUAAGCGAAGGAAAGACCAGUCAAGGGGGUCAUAUGCCUUUUGGAAGUCCAACUUAAGGAAUACACUUUUCUGGCACUGUACCUUCACCUCAUGAAUGAUUUCAUGAAGAGUUAGAAUUCCCCCAUGAAUACGACGCCACUUCAGAAAGGCGGACUAGCAGGGGUGAGAGAGGCGUUCCACCAGCGGGGCAAACUGCGUCGCACACACCUUAGAGACAAUCCGUUGUAGCACAUUAAUCACUGUAAUUAGCCUGAAGUUUUGGAUAUCCGUUGCCCCAACUAUUUUGGGGAUUACGGUAACGACACCAAAGUUCAGGCGGGACAUGUCUGAUGUCCCAAUAUAGAAUUCAUGGAACAUCGGCAUAAUCACCGGCUGAAGCUGCACCCAUAACCUUUGGAAGAAAGCAACCGGCAGGCCAUCCGGCCUAGAUGCUGAACUAGCCUUCAUCUGCGCAAUCGCCCGACCAACCUCCUCAGGCGAGAAUAGGAGGGUAAGUUUUGCACUCUCAACAGGAGAGACCCUGACCUCAAGUGGCCAACAGUCUUCCGCCAAAACACCAGAACGGCCUUAUAACAUCAACCAUAUGAAGUCCAUCAUGCAUAAAAUACAGUUGGUUAUAGCUAACAUUAUGUUUGGCGACGUAUUCAUCAUGCACAAAUAAUUGCUCCUAAUUUUUAAAACUGCAUACCAGUUUGAAUGUGAUCAGCAAGCUGCAGAUAAUCAUAUCAUAGAUGGCAUGCAUGCACAUGUGCUCAGAUAACUCCAUUUUGCACAGAAGGUUCUCCAAAUCGCAUGUGCAUAUCCAUCAUUAAUGAUCUGGUACGGUGGUGGUGAGGAACCCACCAAGUACGAACACAGCCAACCUACGCCCUCUGUUCCAAAAUAUAUGAUACUUUAGAUAUGGAUAGUCUCCAAGAUACAACUUCCAUUGUUGCUUUUUAUAUGGAUAUGUCAGUAAAUAUUUUGAAAUAAUUUUUCAUGACAAAUCUAAUGGCAUAAUUUGUACAUUAAAAGAAUCUGAGUAGUUUCUUUGCUAAUUACUCCCUCCGUCCGGAAAAGCUUGUCCCAAGCUUGUCUUUCAAAUGACAAAUCUAAUGGCAUAAUUUGUACAUUAAAAGUAAAUAUUUUGAUGCUAGAUACGUCCAUUUGAAGGACAACCUUUUCCGGACAGAGGGAGUAGUUGUCAGUGAUAAUAGAAGUUCGGCCUCAUGCUUUCUGUUUUAGUACUUCACAAUGAGAAAACAUAUAAGAUAAUUUAUGCGUGGAGAAGCAGUAACUCCCAGUGAUAGCCUUUAUACUUGCUAAUGUGAUUGUAUCGGUUUAUUAUUAGCCAUGGUGGCAAGUAGAUUAUUAAUCUUACCAUCUGGUAUUGUACGUUAAGAACCAACUGAAGGACAUAAGCAUGACCCUUUUUACACUUGGCAUAAGCUUAACCUUAUUGAUCCUCUACUGGUAUGUUAACGCCAAUAAUCGAUACUAAAUUAUGGUUUUGAUUUCCAAUGAAGCAUUCCAGGCUUCAAGCCCAUUAUGCAAGUUUUUUUUAGGGAAGCCUAUUGCGCAAGUUAGUUCUGUUGUGGAGAGUGGAUCUGAAAAAAGAAAAUCAUGAACAUAAGAGAGAUAUUUAAGGUGGGACCCUUCCAGGGGAAAACCAAGGGGCGCACAGAGGCAAGAUAAUUGACACUAUGGUAUGAGAGUUGCAACUUGCAAGCAGGGAAUUGUGAACGGCACAUCCACCAUUUCAGGCAGAUGUGGCAUGCUGCUAAAAAGAGUAUAUACAUAAGGGUGGAAAAUGGCUCCUAGUGGUCGGAAAACUGUCAGCCUACACUCCAAGUCUCCGGCAUGCCAUUCUACCAUCAGAACCUAGAAAACAACGAUACAUAGCGAGCAUGGAGGGCACGGUUAGUUUGUUUGGGGAGGCCGUCCAAUUUUUUCUUAUGCUUUUAUGUUCAGAAGCAAAAAUACAAACAAAACAAUGUUUGAACUGAGCAUCUAGUAAUGGAUGUUUCCACUAUCUCUCAUGUAGAUCUUUAAAGCUAGACCCCGUUUUGAUAUGCUUUGGUGGAAAUAUAUUCAUAUUUCUAGUGAUCUUCUUUUUGAGUCAGGGGCGUCAUGAUUCUGCGCCAAAGGUGCUAUGAGCUAGUGCAACCGAUGGCGGUUGCUAUGCUGAAUGUUGCCUUCGACGAAUGUGCAUUUUAACCUAUGUCUCCCAUUCAUUAUCUAUACAAAAGUAGAAAUCGUGAAUUUGUGUUAUCCGUUAGCACGCUCUACUCCGAAUGUUGCUUUCAAGUAAAAGACCCAAGGAAAAAAAAUCCAGCUAUACAGCAGUUAAACCGCAGAGACAAAAAACCAAGAAAAACCAUAGGUAAGACAAGGGGUUGCCCUUCACAUGACACGUGUCAUGUGGGAAUGCCUGAUCACUUCUCAGAUGUCACCCUCCCCGUAGUUGCUCCCUUAGUUGAAUACAUCUUCUUGAUCGGCUGUUAUCUUUUUCCCACACUGUUAUGUUUUAAAUGUUUACAUAGUCGUUGAUUUACUAUAUGCAUUUCCCAGUUUAAGGAUGUUUGAUUAUGAGGAUGUUACUAUUGGCUCAUGGAUGCUUGCCAUGAAUGUAAAUCAUGAAGACAACCGUGCAAUGUGUGAUUCCACAUGCACUCCCAGCUCCAUUGCUGUAUGGGACAGCAAGAUAUGUUCAGGUAUGUCCUUGGUGAACUACUUGUCUAAAAUAUUAGUCAUAACGUCUGAAGGAGAGAAUGACCAUACUGCUAAUUAUGCUACCAUCUCUCAUUUCUAUAUGUAAUUGUACCUAGAUGUAUUCGUUAUUCAGUUUCGUUAUAAUGUUCUUCAUAUCUCAAGCCUAUCGGUAUAGAUCAAGGUCUGAUUGUACAAUGCAAAAUGUCUUUGAUUGACGCACCUCAUGCCUUCUUUUGUGGCUCGAGUCCAUUCUUGACACUCCAACACAUGGUUAAAGCAUUCCUUAUUUAUUUGCAGGCUCUUGUAACCCCAUUGAGAAAAUAAAGGAGCUGCACAACACAACUUUGUGCUCAAAAAGCCCAACAUUACCGCCUGAAGUGGAGGAGGAAGAGUAGAAUAUUAUACUGAUACGUUAUUGACCCAUGAAUGGGCUAUUGUGUGGAUGCCAAUGUCUCCCUUAUGGGGAAAUUGGAUUCAUUAUCGCCUGGAGUUAUAUUGUUGUAUGUAUCACCGAUCUUGUUUGGACGGCAAUCUUUUUGUAGCCUCUUGCUGCCGGAGGACACGUGCAGAAGAUACCACAAGACCAGCGGGGUAUUUGAGUGCAUACCACCAAUUGAUCGUGCAAACAACGUCCGCGUUAGGUUCAGGUAUAUUCACAAGUGGGGAUACUUAUUUAUAGUUGAUGUUCACCGAUGUACAUACACCACUGUGAUAUGUUGCUAUGUCCUGUUGGUUGGGCACCUGACAGUAUGAUCAGGGUUAUUUAUAGUUGGUGCCAUCUGAUUCCAGUUGUCUGGCCCCAUCUUGUGAUGGUUGUAAUUAUGCUCGUUGCUUAGGUACUUAAGGUACCUGACAGCAUUGAGCCAUUGCUGGAUGGAGGAUUUUAUUGGUUUACUUAUAGAUUUUGUGCUUAAUACUGUGCUCUUGAUUGUCAUAGUGCUAUUCCAUUUUGAUGACAAUGAUAACGUGUUUGUGUUUUGGUGAGGCUGAAGUUUCUUGAGGAAAAACUCAUUGCUAG